rnacentral:rRNA from 1 species
GCCUAACACAUGCAAGUCGAACGAACCUUCGGGUUAGUGGCGGACGGGUGAGUAACGCGUGAGAAUCUGCCCUCAGGAGGGGGAUAACGGCUGGAAACGGCCGCUAAUACCCCAUAUGCCGCGAGGUGAAAUGAAUUUCGCCUGAGGAUGAGCUCGCGUCUGAUUAGCUAGUUGGUGGGGUAAAGGCCUACCAAGGCAUCGAUCAGUAGCUGGUCUGAGAGGAUGAUCAGCCACACUGGGACUGAGACACGGCCCAGACUCCUACGGGAGGCAGCAGUGGGGAAUUUUCCGCAAUGGGCGAAAGCCUGACGGAGCAACGCCGCGUGAGGGAUGAAGGCCUCUGGGCUGUAAACCUCUUUUAUCAAGGAAGAAGAUCUGACGGUACUUGAUGAAUAAGCCACGGCUAAUUCCGUGCCAGCCGCCGCGGUAAUA